AGAGUUUGAUCCUGGCUCAGAACGAACGCUGGCGGCGUGGAUUAGGCAUGCAAGUCGAACGAGAAAGUCAUUUCGGUGGCGAGUACAGUGGCGAAAGGGCGAGUAAUGCGUGGACAAUCUACCCUCAAGACGGGGAUAAUCAUCCGAAAGGAUGACUAAUACCGGAUGUGGCGCUUAGAUCGCAUGUUCAUAGCGCUAAAGGUGGGGACCUUCGGGCCUACCGCUUGGGGAGGAGUUCACGUUCUAUCAGCUAGUUGGUGGGGUAAUGGCCUACCAAGGCAGCGACGGAUAGGCGGCCUGAGAGGGUGGUCGCCCGCACUGGGACUGAGACACUGCCCAGACUCCUACGGGAGGCUGCAGUCGAGAAUCAUUCUCAAUGAGCGAAAGCUUGAAGGUGCGACGCCGCGUGGGGGAUGAAGGCCUUAUAGGUUGUAAACCCUAGUCUCGAGUGAAGAAGUUCAUCUGCGAUAACAUCAAGGGUGAUUGACGUUAGCUCGAAAGAAGCACCGGCUAACUACGUGCCAGCAGCCGCGGUAAUACGUAGGGUGCAAGCGUUGUUCGAAAUCACUGGGCAUAAAGCGCAUGUAGGCGGCUCGAUAAGUCGAGUGUGAAAGCCCCCUGGCUCAACCAGGGAAUGGCAUUCGAAACUAUCGAUCUCGAGGGUGGUAGAGGAGAGUGGAACUCGUAGUGGAGCGGUGAAAUGCGUAGAUAUUACGAGGAACACCGGUGGCGAAAGCGACUCUCUGGACCAUACCUGACGCUGAGAUGCGAAAGCCAGGGGAGCAAACGGGAUUAGAUACCCCGGUAGUCCUGGCCCUAAACGAUGGGUACUAGGUAGAGGCGGCACCGACGUCGUCCCUGCCGGAGCCAAUGUUUUAAGUACCCCGCCUGAGGAGUACGGUCGCAAGAUUGAAACUCAAAGGAAUUGACGGGGGCUCGCACAAGCGGUGGAGUAUGUGGUUUAAUUCGAAGCAACGCGAAGAACCUUACCCGGGUUUGACAUACACGGAUUAGUCUUCUGAAAGGGAGAUGACACCCUUUAGGGUGGAACGUGAACAGGUGUUGCAUGGCUGUCGUCAGCUCGUGUCGUGAGAUGUUGGGUUAAGUCCCGUAACGAGCGAAACCCCUGUUGUUAGUUGCUAACGCGUCAUGGCGAGGACUCUAGCAAGACUGCCGGUGUUAAACCGGAGGAAGGUGGGGAUGACGUCAAGUCAUCAUGGCCCUUACACCCGGGGCGACACACGUACUACAAUGGUAAGUACAACGGGUAGCGAAGCCGUGAGGCGGAGCCAAUCCCCCAAAGCUUACCCCAGUUCGGAUUGAAGGCUGAAACUCGCCUUCAUGAAGCCGGAAUCGCUAGUAAUCGCGGGUCAGCCAUACCGCGGUGAAUGUGUUCCCGAGCCUUGCACACACCGCCCGA
rnacentral:rRNA from 1 species